GAGUUUGAUCGUGGCUCAGGAUGAACGCUGGCGGCGUGCAUAACACAUUCAAGUCGAACGAGGCAGCAAUGCCUAGUGGCGGACGGGUGAGUAACGCGUGAGCAACCUGCCCUUGUGUGGGGGAUACCGUCUGGAAACGGACGUUAAUACCGCAUAACAUAGCGGAGUCGCAUGGCUCUGCUAUCAAAGAUUUAUUGCGCAAGGAUGGGCUCGCGUCUGAUUAGGUAGUUGGUGGGGUAACGGCUCACCAAGCCGACGAUCGGUAGCCGGACUGAGAGGUUGAACGGCCACAUUGGAACUGAGAUACGGUCCAGACUCCUACGGGAGCAGCAGUGGGGAAUAUUGGGCAAUGGGCGAAAGCCUGACCCAGCGACGCCGCGUGAAGGAAGAAGGUCCUCGGAUUGUAAACUUCUUUUAUCAGGGACGAAAACUGACGGUACCUGAUGAAUAAGCCACGGCUAACUACGUGCC
rnacentral:rRNA from 1 species